GAUUUUGGUAUAUGCAGAGAUGGGGGGCUGUAACUAAUUCUGUAUACUGAGGGACGGCGACUGUAUAUGUUUUUACAAUUACGCUGUAGGAUACAUACUGUUGCAUAGCCUUGAAAAUAAUAAUUUUUAAUUGAGUGGAAUAAUAAUAAUAAUAUUGCUAAAAGUAGCAGCUGGCCAGGUGUGGUGGCUCACACUGGUAAUCGCAACACUUUGGGAGGCUGAGGCAGGAGGAUGGCUUGAGGCCAAGAGUUUGCAAUAGGCCUUGGAAACAAAGGGGGAGUCACCAUCCCUACAGAAAAAUACAUGAAUUAGCCUAGUGUGGUGGCACGUUCCUGUAGUCCCAGCUACUUGGGAGGCUGAGGUGGGAGGAUCACUUGAGCCCAGGGAGGCUGAGACUGCAGUGAGUCAUGAUCAGGCCUCUGCACUCCAGCCUGGGUGACAGAGUGAGACCCUGUCUCAAAACAACAAAAAAGUAGCAGCUAACAUCAACUGACCUUUUAUACCAGGUGCCUAUUGAUAUCAUAGUUUAAUUUCUUAGAACUGUUUCUUAUUUCACUUACCAACUCUGUCUUCAGUUACUCCCAGAUUUGUACUGUGUUUGUACAGAUGACCUUUUGUUUAGAUUGAAUUGUCUCCCCAGAAGUAAGAUGACUGUGAGACAUGGUGAAUGGACAUUCUCAUUACCCUUGAUGUAAAUUGACAGGGUUUUGGGUGCCUCCCAACUAUAAUCUUAGCACUUUGGGAGGCUAAGAGAGGAGGAUUGCUUGAGGCCAAGAGUUGGAGGAGGCAGUAUGGCAGUAUGGUGAGACCCUGUCUCCAUUAUUUUAAAAAAUUGACAAGCUUUACCCGGGAGGGCUUAUACACAAUUUAAACACCCCUCAUAGUAUAAGAAAGUGCCCAUUUCACUGCACCUUUGCCAGCACAGGGUAUUAUAAUUUAGUAAGUCAUUUUUUGUUUGCUUAUUUCAAAUAGAUAAAAGACCUCAUAUUACUUUACUUGUCACAUUUCAACGUCUUUCCUUAGCUUAUUAGCUCUAUCUCUUUUCUGUCUGUAAAUGGUUGUUGUUGUUUUGUUCUUUGAGACAGGGUCUUGCUCUGUCACCAGGCUGGGCUGUAGUGGCAUAAUCAUGCCUCACUGCAGCCUUGACCUCCCAGGCUCAAACUUCAGCAUUCCGAGUAGCUGGGACUACAAGUGUGCACCACCACUCCCAGCUAACCUUUUUCUUUUUUUGGAUAGAGACAGGGUCUCACUGUGUUGUCCAGACCGGUCUCUAGCUCCUGGCCUUAAGCAAUCCUCCUGCAUUAGCUUCUCAAAUUGCUGGAAUUUCAGGCAUGAGCCACCAUGCCUGGCCUGGGCUAGUCCUGUAUUCUCUAGAGUUCUCUUUACUUUGUGCUAGCCAAUCUCUCAUUAUGCUGUUCACCUGUUAUAAUGAAUAAUUCUCCGUAUUAAAUGUUACCACUUUAAACUUUUGAGUGGUUUAUGCUUCCUGAUUGCACUCUGACUAAUAUGUUAGGAAGGGUCCCAGGAGAUAAACCCACACAGAUGGGAUUUGGGCAUAGGUUUGGUUUCCCAGGGGGCAGUGCUGAGCUCUUUGCCAGUGGGAAAUGGGAUGCUGGUGAUUUCCAGGAAGUGACCUCACAAUGACUCAAGCUACCACUUACUGUUGAUUGUGACGAAAUGCCAGCUGAGGCACAUGCCUUGGGAGCUAAGUGGUUGCUGCCCUUGACCACUAUGAAGACUGGUGUGGGAAGGGUCGCUUUGGAUGCACUUGAGCAGGGGUCCCCAACCCCUGAGCCAUGGAGCCAUAAGGAGCCACACAGCAGGAGGUGGGACCAUCCAGUUGCAGGAAAACAAGCUUAACACGCCCACUGAUUCUACAUUAUGCUCCUACCUCCCGGCAGCCUCUCCAGGCCCAGAACUCUCUCCAGUCAGCCUCUACAGACCAAGCUCAUGACUCACAAUGGCCUAUUGAGGCCCAUACCCUACCUCACGGCAGUCUUCGCAGAUGAGCCUACUGCCUCACAACAGCCUCCACAGGCACAGCUCCAUCGUUACAAUGGCCUCUUUAGACCCAGCUCCUGCCUCCCAGCCUUCUCUCCAGGCCCUGAACUUUCUCCGGUCUCCCUCUGUUGUCCGAGGCUGGAGGGUAGUAGUGCUAUCGCAGCUGACUGCAGCCUCAACCUUCCAGGCUGAAGCGAUCCUCCCAUCUCAACCUCCCACGUGGCUGAGACUACAGGUGCUUGCCACUAUGCCCAAUUAAUAUUUGGUAUUUUCGUACACGUGGAUUCCAGAGGGGUAACAGCGAAACGUGAGUGGGACCAUCCAGUUUCAGGAAAACAAGCUUAACACGCCCACUGAUUCUACAUUAUGAUUCUUCAGGCCCAGCAUCUGCCUCACUGUGGACCCCCCAAGCCAAGCUCCCAACCUUUCAGCAGCUUCUACACACCCAGCUCCCGCCUGCCAGUGGCCUCUUCAGGCCCAUGGGGCUCAUUCCUCACAACAGCCUUUCCAGUCCCAGUUUUUCCCUUCCGGCGGCCUCUCCGGGCUGAGAACCUCCUCAAGUCGGCCUCUCCAGACCCACUUGCACCCUCCAGGCGUCCUCUCCGGGCCAAGCUCCUCUUCCUGGCUGCGUCUCCAGGCCCGACUCCUGCCUCUCAACAACCUCUUUGGACUCAGUGCCUACCCAUCUCCUGGCGUCCUUGGUCGGACCACAGCUUCCUCAAGCCAAGCUCCCCAGGCCCAGGUCAGGCCUCACGGUGCCCCCUCCACGAUGAGCUCAUGCCCUCCAAUGGCACCUGCAGGCCCCAAAUGGUCUCCGGUCGGUGGGCUCCUCCACGCCAAGCUUGGGCCUCCCGGUGACCUCUGCAGGCCCAAGUUGUCCUGAAGUCAGCAUCUCCCGGCCGUGCCUCCCAGCAAGUAAGCAAGCUCUUUUGGCUCAACUCCUGCCCAGCUCCCAACCGCCUUUGUAGGUCCCGAACUUUCUCCAGCCAAGUUCUUUGGGCCUCAUUCCUGCAGCCCGGUGGCCUGUACGGGCCCAGCAAUGGUUGGAGAAUGGCCUCUGCAGGUCCCGCUCUUGCCUCCCAGGGGCCUCUCCAGGCCCAGCUCUCGCCCCCACGGCGGCCACCCGGGGCCAAGUCCCUGCCUGCCUCCCAGCAGCCCGCAUGCGGCCCAGCUCCUCCCUCACGGUGGCCUGUUGAUGCCCAUGCCUCUGGUACCCUGCCCAGAGGCAUGAGCCCCUGCCACACACUGGCUCCUCCCACGCUGAGAGAGGUCAGCGUGAGCCCUUGCCUCACACCGGCCCCUCCCACGCUGAGAGAGGUCAGCGUGAGCCCCUUGCCUCACACCGGCCCCUCCCACGCUGAGAGAGGUCGGCGUGAGCCCUUGCCUCACACCGGCCCCUCCCACGCUGAGAGAGGUCAACAUGAGCCCCUUGCCUCACACCGGCCCCUCCCACGCUGAGAGAGGUCGGCGUGAGCCCUUGCCUCACACCGGCCCCUCCCACGCUGAGAGAGGUCAGCGUGAGCCCUUGCCUCACACCGGCCCCUCCCACGCUGACAGAGGUCAGCCUCAGCCCCUUACCUCACACCAGCCCCUCCCACGCUGAGAGAGGUCGGCGUGAGCCCUUGCCUCACACCGGCCCCUCCCACGCUGAGAGAGGUCAGCGUGAGCCCUUGCCUCACACCGGCCCCUCCCACGCUGAGAGAGGUCAGCGUGAGCCCUUGCCUCACACCGGCCCCUCCCACGCUGACAGAGGUCAGCCUGAGCCCCUUACCUCACACCAGCCCCUCCCACGCUGACAGAGGUCAGCGUGAGCCCCUUGCCUCACCCCGGCCCCUCCCACGCUGAGAGAGGUCGGCGUGAGCCCUUGCCUCACACCGGCCCCUCCCACGCUGAGAGAGGUCAGCGUGAGCCCUUGCCUCACACCGGCCCCUCCCACGCUGACAGAGGUCAGCCUCAGCCCCUUACCUCACACCGGCCCCUCCCACGCUGAGAGAGGUCGGCGUGAGCCCUUGACUCACACCGGCCCCUCCCACGGUGAGAGAGGUCGGCGUGAGCCCCUUGCCUCACACCGGCCCCUCCCACGCUGAGAGAGGUCAGCGUGAGCCCUUGCCUCACACCGGACCCUCCCACGGUGAGAGAGGUCAGCGUGAGCCCUUGCCUCACACCGGCCCCUCCCACGCUGAGAGAGGUCAGCGUGAGCCCUUGCCUCACACCGGCCCCUCCCACGCUGAGAGAGGUCGGCGUGAGCCCCUGCCUCAACAGGCCACCGUGAGGGAGGAGCAGGGUCGCACGAGGGCUGCUGUGAGGCAGGCAGCGACUUGGGCCUGGGAGGUCGUGGUGGGGCGAGAGCUGGGCUUGGAGACUCCCCUGGGAGGCAACAGCGGGGCCUACAGACUCUGUUCUCCAGCCGGAGGUGGGACUGUUCAGGUACUGGGAGGCGGGAUGUGGGUCUGAAGAGCUUGGUUGCAGAAACUUCGGGGUCUACAAACGCAGGCGGGAGCUGAGCCAAAAAAGCUUGUUUGCUGGGAGGCGGGAGAUGCAGCCAGGAGAAACAGGUGUGCCUGCAGAGGCCGCCAUGCGGGAGGCGGAGGCCGGGCCUCCUCAAAUCGGCCUCUCCAGACCCACUUGCAGCCUCCCGGCAUCCUCUCCGGGCCCAGCUCUUCCUCCCGGCUGUGUCUCCAGGCCUGACUCUGGCCUCCCAACAACGUCUUUGGACUCAGCUCCUGCCCAGCUCCCAGCAGGCCCAAGUCGUCGUCAAGUCGGCCUGGAAUUGGGCCCGGAAGAGCAGCAAGUCGGCCUCCCCGGGCCCAGCUCCGUCCUCUCGGCGGCCUCUCCAGGUGCAAAACUUCCUCGAGUCAGCCUCUCCAGGCCCAGCUCCUCCUGCCUCCCAGUGGCCUCUUUCAGCCCAGACCAGCUCAUGGCUCUUGGCGGCCUUCCCAGGCCCCGCUUUUGACUUUUGGUGGCCUCUUCAGGCCCAGAACUUGACCUCCAGUGGGCCUUUGCAGGCCCGGCCUCCUGCCUCUCGAAGGCCUGCACGGGCCCGGACUCACAGCGGACUCACAGCGGACUCUCCAUGCCCAGCUAGCUCUCGCCUCAUUGCGGCCUCCCGAGUCCAAAGCUCCUGCCUCUCGGCCGCUUCGGCAGGCCCAGCUCCCGCCUGCCAGUGGCCUCUUUAGGCCCAGCUCAUUCCUCACAACGGCCUUCCCAGGCCCCGUUUUUCCCUUCCGGCAGCCUCUUGGCCUCUAAUUUGUUUAUCUUUUGUGUAUAAAUCCCAAAAUAUUGAAUUUUGGAAUAUUUCCACCAUUAUGUAAAUAUUUUGGUAGGUGAUUUAUUUGGGGUGAGUUUCUGCACCAAGCCCGAAUUUUUUAUUUUAUUUUCCUUAUUAUUUGGUGUUAAACAGGUUUAAUGACGGUCACGGCAACUGUUUGACACAAUGAAAAAUAUCGCCCAUGAUCAACGUGUUCUGUUCUGGGGAAGGGGGCAAAGGCAGGGUGAAUCACUUUCUUAAAAAGUAUAGCUCAAGUUGGGAGUGCAGAGGGAAUGGGGAGAAAACCCUCCCGCUGCCUGUGUCGAAGUGCAGGAGCCCCCACCCCCAUACUCACCUGAGUCCAGCCCCUCUGGGGAAAGAAGGGGUGCAUGAACUCCCCCUAGUCCACAGGCACCUCCCUGUGGCCCAAGGCCCUCUUCACACUCCAUCUUGUAGCCCCAACAGGAGCUAUUUUCCGAAAAGUGAAAAGCUCUGAAGGUCCCACAAUUCAUGGUAUGUACACCUCCCUCACCAGGGGCUGCAAAGUGGCCUGGAGCUCCAUACUGAGUAGAAGUCUUUGGGCCAGAGUCAGCAUCUGGCUGACGGUCCGGAUAUCCUGGUUGGAGUGACCCUGGUGCACCCUGCCAGGGCCUGGUGCCGCUUGCUGAAGAUCAUGACCGCCACUCAUGGGCCACCGAUGUGGUCCUUGUCCCAUUUGUUGGGGCUGCGUCCAUCCUUCUCAGAAGAUGAGUCCUGUUCCUUGCGCAGGGCACUGAGGGACUGGGCCUGACAUCAUCUGAGUGGUAGAGGCAACUGGGUGUCAGGAGACAUGAUGGAGAGGAAAGCAUCAUCAUGGUCAUUCUCUGUCUCACUGUCCAGCAGGGACUCCCCUGAGGGGCCCAGGGCUCCUCCUCCAUGGUGGGAGGUGAGCUUUUAACAGGUUCCACCACCCCCAAAGUGUGUGGGGUUGCGGGCCCUGGGCUUUCAGGGCAGGUGGCUCCAGGGGGCCGCCCAGGGUCAACACUCCCUGUGCCACCUGGUGGAUGCUCAUGAGCAACAGCUGCCAACUUGGCAGGUUGUUUUCUCUGGUUGGAGGCCACUGAGUAACUGGCAGGUUGCUGGGCCUCGUGUGGCUGCAGGGAGGGGUCAGGAAGGGGAUGGAGUACCAGGAGAACACGGCCACAGAGUGACCUUCCACAUUCCUCCACACGAACAUGCUGACGCCACGGGAGGCCUCACUGAAUGCAGGCCUGGGGGCCGAGUACUUGGUCCGGGCAGGGAGUUCCUGGCAGGGGCUCACACCUCACCCCCUCCUCAGCCCAGGUGGCUUGGGCCCAGAGAAGUGGGGGUUGGAGAGGAGCAGAAGGCCAGGCCUCAAGUUUUGUUUUUUUUGUUUGUUAUUUUGUUUUUGAAAUGUAGUUUGACUCUUGUCACCCAGGCUGGAGUGCAGUGGCACGAUCUCAGUGGCCUUCAUACCUGGCUAAUUUUUUGUAUUUUUACUGGGGGUGGGGUUUUGCCAUGUUGGCCAGGCUGGUCUUGACCUCCCGACCUCAGGUGAUCCACCCACCUCAGCCUCCCAAAAUGGGAUUACGGGCAUGAGCCACUGCUCCCAACUUCAUUCAUUUUUACUUGAAAAACUCCGUUAAGCAUUUUUUUAAGGUAGACCUAGUGGUCCUGAAUGCCCUCAGCUUUGUUUGUCAAGGAAGCACGUUAUUUCUUUUUUCUCUCUGAAGGACAGCUUUGUCAGACAUAGUAUUAGUUGCUGGCACUUUUUUUCUUUCAGCACUUUGAAUCUAUUAUUCGAUUCUGUCCUGACCUGCAAAGUUUCUUUAACUUUUGACUAUUUGAUUAUAUUGUGACUUGGUGAGUAUCUAUUUGGUUUGAACCUCUUUAGGAAUCUUUAAGCUUCAUGGAUUUAGAUGUCCAAAUCUUUCCCAUGAUUUAGGCAGUCUUCAGCCAUUCUUUAAAUAAGCUUUCUUCUCCUUUCUCUACUUUCCUUCUCAAACUCCCAUAACCUGACAAUGGUUUGCCUAAUGGUGUCUUGUUGGCUUUCUUUUCUCUGUCUUUUCUUCUUCUUUUUUUUUUGAGACAGAGUCGUGCUCUGUCACCCAGGCUGGAGUGCAAUGUGUGGUCUAGGCUCACUAGGGUUAGGGUUAGGGUUUUAGGGUAAGGGCGAAGGGUUAGGGUUUUAGGGUCAGGGCCCAGGGUCAGGGUUUUAGGGUCAGGGCGAAGGGUUAGGGUUUUAGGGUCAGGGCCCAGGGUUAGGGUUUUAGGGUCAGGGCCCAGGGUUAGGGUUUUAGGGUCAGGGCCAGGGCCCAGGGUUAGGGUCUUAGGGUCAGGGCCCAGGGCCCAGUGUUAGGGUUUUAGGGUCAGGGCCCAGGGCCCAGGGUUAGGGUUUUAGGGUCAGGGCCCGGGGCCCAGGGUUAGAGUUUUAGUGUCAGGGACCGGGGCCCAGGGUUAGGGCUUCAGGGUCAGGGCCCGGGGCCCAGGGUUAGGGCUUCAGGGCCAGGGCCCGGGGCGCAGGGUUAGGGCUUCAGGGACAGGGCCCGGGGCCCAGGGUUAGGGCUUCAGGGCCAGGGCCCGGGGCCCAGGGUUAGGGCUUCAGGGUCAGGGCCCGGGGCCCAGGGUUAGGGCUUCAGGGUCAGGGCCCGGGGCCCAGGGUUAGGGCUUCAGGGUCCGGGCCCGGGGCCCAGGGUUAGGGUUUUAGGGUCAGAGCCCGGGGCCCAGGGUUAGGGUGAUUUCCAGGAAGUGACCUCACAACGAUUCAAGCUACCACUUACUGUUGAUUGUGAUGAAAUGCCAGCUGAGGCACACGCCUUGGGAGCUAAGUGGUUGCUGCCCUUGACUACUAUGAAGACUCUUGUGGGAAGGGUCGCUUUGGAUGCACUUGAGCAGGGGUCCCCAACCCCUGAGCCAUGGAGUCGUAAGGAGGCACACAGCAGGUGAGUGGUGUCGAGUGAGGGAGUGAGGGAAGCUUCGUCUGUAUUUACAGCCACUCCCCUUUGCUCACAUUCCCGCCUGAGCUCCACCUUCUCAGAUGAGCAGCAGCAUUAGAUUCUCAUAGGAGAACGCACCCUGUUGUGAACCAUGCAUGUGAGGGAUCCAGGUUGCGCUGUUCUUAUGAGAAUCUAAUACCUAUUGAUCUGUCACUUUCUCCCAUCACGCUCAGGUGGGACCAUCCAGUUUCAGGAAAACAAGCUUAACACGCCCACUGAUUCUACAUUAUGCUCCUACCUCCCGGCAGCCUCUCCAGGCCCAGAACUCUCUCCAGUCAGCCUCUACAGACCAAGCUCAUGACUCACAAUGGCCUAUUGAGGCCCAUACCCUACCUCACGGCAGUCUCCGCAGAUGAGCCUACUGCCUCACAACAGCCUCCACAGGCACAGCUCCAUCGUUACAAUGGCCUCUUUAGACCCAGCUCCUGCCUCCCAGCCUUCUCUCCAGGCCCUGAACUUUCUCCGUGGGACCAUCCAGUUUCAGGAAAACAAGCUUAACACGCCCACUGAUUCUACAUUAUGCUCCUACCUCCCGGCAGCCUCUCCAGGCCCAGAACUCUCUCCAGUCAGCCUCUACAGACCAAGCUCAUGACUCACAAUGGCCUAUUGAGGCCCAUACCCUACCUCACGGCAGUCUCCGCAGAUGAGCCUACUGCCUCACAACAGCCUCCACAGGCACAGCUCCAUCGUUACAAUGGCCUCUUUAGACCCAGCUCCUGCCUCCCAGCCUUCUCUCCAGGCCCUGAACUUUCUCCGGUCUCCCUCUGUUGUCCGAGGCUGGAGGGUAGUAGUGCUAUCGCAGCUGACUGCAGCCUCAACCUUCCAGGCUGAAGCGAUCCUCCCAUCUCAACCUCCCACGUGGCUGAGACUACAGGUGCUUGCCACUAUGCCCAACUAAUAUUUGGUAUUUUCGUACACGUGGAUUCCAGAGGGGUAACAGCGAAACGUGGGACCAUCCAGUUUCAGGAAAACAAGCUUAACACGCCCACUGAUUCUACAUUAUGAUUCUUCAGGCCCAGCAUCUGCCUCACUGUGGACCCCCCAAGCCAAGCUCCCAACCUUUCAGCAGCUUCUACACACCCAGCUCCCGCCUGCCAGUGGCCUCUUCAGGCCCAUGGGGCUCAUUCCUCACAACAGCCUUUCCAGUCCCAGUUUUUCCCUUCCGGCGGCCUCUCCGGGCUGAGAACCUCCUCAAGUCGGCCUCUCCAGACCCACUUGCACCCUCCAGGCGUCCUCUCCGGGCCAAGCUCCUCUUCCUGGCUGCGUCUCCAGGCCCGACUCCUGCCUCUCAACAACCUCUUUGGACUCAGUGCCUACCCAUCUCCUGGCGUCCUUGGUCGGACCACAGCUUCCUCAAGCCAAGCUCCCCAGGCCCAGGUCAGGCCUCACGGUGCCCCCUCCACGAUGAGCUCAUGCCCUCCAAUGGCACCUGCAGGCCCCAAAUGGUCUCCGGUCGGUGGGCUCCUCCACGCCAAGCUUGGGCCUCCCGGUGACCUCUGCAGGCCCAAGUUGUCCUGAAGUCAGCAUCUCCCGGCCGUGCCUCCCAGCAAGUAAGCAAGCUCUUUUGGCUCAACUCCUGCCCAGCUCCCAACCGCCUUUGUAGGUCCCGAACUUUCUCCAGCCAAGUUCUUUGGGCCUCAUUCCUGCAGCCCGGUGGCCUGUACGGGCCCAGCAAUGGUUGGAGAAUGGCCUCUGCAGGUCCCGCUCUUGCCUCCCAGGGGCCUCUCCAGGCCCAGCUCUCGCCCCCACGGCGGCCACCCGGGGCCAAGUCCCUGCCUGCCUCCCAGCAGCCCGCAUGCGGCCCAGCUCCUCCCUCACGGUGGCCUGUUGAUGCCCAUGCCUCUGGUACCCUGCCCAGAGGCAUGAGCCCCUGCCACACACUGGCUCCUCCCACGCUGAGAGAGGUCAGCGUGAGCCCUUGCCUCACACCGGCCCCUCCCACGCUGAGAGAGGUCAGCGUGAGCCCCUUGCCUCACACCGGCCCCUCCCACGCUGAGAGAGGUCGGCGUGAGCCCUUGACUCACACCGGCCCCUCCCACGGUGAGAGAGGUCGGCGUGAGCCCCUUGCCUCACACCGGCCCCUCCCACGCUGAGAGAGGUCAGCGUGAGCCCUUGCCUCACACCGGACCCUCCCACGGUGAGAGAGGUCAGCGUCAGCCCCUUGCCUCACACCGGCCCCUCCCACGCUGAGAGAGGUCGGCGUGAGCCCCUUACCUCACACCGGCCCCUCCCACGCUGAGAGAGGUCGGCGUGAGCCCCUUGCCUCACACCGGCCCCUCCCACGCUGAGAGAGGUCGGCGUGAGCCCUUGCCUCACACCGGCCCCUCCCACGCUGAGAGAGGUCAACAUGAGCCCCUUGCCUCACACCGGCCCCUCCCACGCUGAGAGAGGUCAGCGUGAGCCCUUGCCUCACACCGGCCCCUCCCACGCUGAGAGAGGUCAGCCUGAGCCCCUUACCUCACACCAGCCCCUCCCACGCUGACAGAGGUCAGCGUGAGCCCCUUGCCUCACCCCGGCCCCUCCCACGCUGAGAGAGGUCGGCGUGAGCCCUUGCCUCACACCGGCCCCUCCCACGCUGAGAGAGGUCAGCGUGAGCCCUUGCCUCACACCGGCCCCUCCCACGCUGACAGAGGUCAGCCUCAGCCCCUUACCUCACACCAGCCCCUCCCACGCUGAGAGAGGUCGGCGUGAGCCCUUGCCUCACACCGGCCCCUCCCACGCUGAGAGAGGUCAGCGUGAGCCCUUGCCUCACACCGGCCCCUCCCACGCUGAGAGAGGUCAGCGUGAGCCCUUGCCUCACACCGGCCCCUCCCACGCUGACAGAGGUCAGCCUGAGCCCCUUACCUCACACCAGCCCCUCCCACGCUGACAGAGGUCAGCGUGAGCCCCUUGCCUCACCCUGGCCCCUCCCACGCUGAGAGAGGUCGGCGUGAGCCCUUGCCUCACACCGGCCCCUCCCACGCUGAGAGAGGUCAGCGUGAGCCCUUGCCUCACACCGGCCCCUCCCACGCUGACAGAGGUCAGCCUCAGCCCCUUACCUCACACCGGCCCCUCCCACGCUGAGAGAGGUCGGCGUGAGCCCUUGCCUCACACCGGCCCCUCCCACGCUGAGAGGUCGGCGUGAGCCCCUUGCCUCACACCGGCCCCUCCCACUGUGAGAGAGGUCAGCGUGAGCCCUUGCCUCACACCGGCCCCUCCCACGCUGAGAGAGGUCGGCGUGAGCCCCUGCCUCAACAGGCCACCGUGAGGGAGGAGCAGGGUCGCACGAGGGCUGCUGUGAGGCAGGCAGCGACUUGGGCCUGGGAGGUCGUGGUGGGGCGAGAGCUGGGCUUGGAGACUCCCCUGGGAGGCAACAGCGGGGCCUACAGACUCUGUUCUCCAGCCGGAGGUGGGACUGUUCAGGUACUGGGAGGCGGGAUGUGGGUCUGAAGAGCUUGGUUGCAGAAACUUCGGGGUCUACAAACGCAGGCGGGAGCUGAGCCAAAAAAGCUUGUUUGCUGGGAGGCGGGAGAUGCAGCCAGGAGAAACAGGUGUGCCUGCAGAGGCCGCCAUGCGGGAGGCGGAGGCCGGGCCUCCUCAAAUCGGCCUCUCCAGACCCACUUGCAGCCUCCCGGCAUCCUCUCCGGGCCCAGCUCUUCCUCCCGGCUGUGUCUCCAGGCCUGACUCUGGCCUCCCAACAACGUCUUUGGACUCAGCUCCUGCCCAGCUCCCAGCAGGCCCAAGUCGUCGUCAAGUCGGCCUGGAAUUGGGCCCGGAAGAGCAGCAAGUCGGCCUCCCCGGGCCCAGCUCCGUCCUCUCGGCGGCCUCUCCAGGUGCAAAACUUCCUCGAGUCAGCCUCUCCAGGCCCAGCUCCUCCUGCCUCCCAGUGGCCUCUUUCAGCCCAGACCAGCUCAUGGCUCUUGGCGGCCUUCCCAGGCCCCGCUUUUGACUUUUGGUGGCCUCUUCAGGCCCAGAACUUGACCUCCAGUGGGCCUUUGCAGGCCCGGCCUCCUGCCUCUCGAAGGCCUGCACGGGCCCGGACUCACAGCGGACUCACAGCGGACUCUCCAUGCCCAGCUAGCUCUCGCCUCAUUGCGGCCUCCCGAGUCCAAAGCUCCUGCCUCUCGGCCGCUUCGGCAGGCCCAGCUCCCGCCUGCCAGUGGCCUCUUUAGGCCCAGCUCAUUCCUCACAACGGCCUUCCCAGGCCCCGUUUUUCCCUUCCGGCAGCCUCUUGGCCUCUAAUUUGUUUAUCUUUUGUGUAUAAAUCCCAAAAUAUUGAAUUUUGGAAUAUUUCCACCAUUAUGUAAAUAUUUUGGUAGGUGAUUUAUUUGGGGUGAGUUUCUGCACCAAGCCCGAAUUUUUUAUUUUAUUUUCCUUAUUAUUUGGUGUUAAACAGGUUUAAUGACGGUCACGGCAACUGUUUGACACAAUGAAAAAUAUCGCCCAUGA